rnacentral:rRNA from 1 species
UCCAGACUCCUACGGGAGGCAGCAGUGAGGAAUAUUGGUCAAUGGCCGUAAGGCUGAACCAGCCAAGUAGCGUGAGGGAAGACUGCCCUAUGGGUUGUAAACCUCUUUUAUGCGGGGAUAAAGGUGUCCACGUGUGGAUGUUUGCAGGUACCGCAUGAAUAAGGACCGGCUAAUUCCGUGCCAGCAGCCGCGGUAAUACGGAAGGUCCGGGCGUUAUCCGGAUUUAUUGGGUUUAAAGGGUGCGUAGGCGGAGUGUCAAGUCAGCGGUAAAAUUUCGGGGCCCAACCCCGUCGUGCCGUUGAAACUGACGCCCUUGAGUGAGUGAGAAGUAAGCGGAAUGCGUGGUGUAGCGGUGAAAUGCAUAGAUAUCACGCAGAACUCCGAUUGCGAAGGCAGCAUACCGGCGCGCAACUGACGCUCAUGCACGAAAGCGUGGGUAUCGAACAGGAUUAGAUACCCCAGUACG